ensembl:antisense 1700003G13Rik RIKEN cDNA 1700003G13 gene
AAGUCACAGGGAACAAGGCAGAAUGAGGUUCAGUGGGGUGUGCCAGGUGUGUGUUGAUCAGCACCAAUGACAGCAUGAAACUGAUGUUCCAGGGACUAAGAUGAAGCAGUUGAAAUCACUGGAUCCCAGGCAGCUUCCAGCCAGCAGAGACAUUCUGUCUUCCCUACACUCGGGGCAGGUCUUGGCAGCGCCCUGCCUGACUCCAGCCUGUCCCUUCUCAUGCCUGGGAAAGCCCAGGAGACCGCGGCGCACUCACCCGGUGGCUGCCUCUGUCCAUGGUGUAAGAGAAUGCUUCUUCCAGGCUCAGCUGAUGUCGAGGAGGCAAAAGAAACAGAGGAAGAGACACGUGUCCUAAAGCAAAAGUCGCUGUGCUCAGAAGUGUGGAAGCAGAAGAGUUCGGUGGACUUGGGAAUGCUCCCUUUGUGAUAAAGCCCCAGGGUGGCUGCAACUUCGCUGAGAUCCGUGGAUUCUGCGAUUGGGUCUGUGUUCCCCCAUGCAUGAAUCUGUACCCAGAUAAAAUUCUCUUUGCUUUUA